CCUACGGGAGGCAGCAGUGGGGAAUAUUGGACAAUGGGCGAAAGCCUGAUCCAGCAAUGCCGCGUGAGUGAUGAAGGCCUUAGGGUUGUAAAGCUCUUUUACCAGGGAUGAUAAUGACAGUACCUGGAGAAUAAGCUCCGGCUAACUCCGUGCCAGCAGCCGCGGUAAUACGGAGGGAGCUAGCGUUGUUCGGAAUUACUGGGCGUAAAGCGUACGUAGGCGGUUAUUCAAGUCAGAGGUGAAAGCCCGGGGCUCAACCCCGGAACUGCCUUUGAAACUAGAUAGCUAGAAUCUUGGAGAGGUUAGUGGAAUUCCGAGUGUAGAGGUGAAAUUCGUAGAUAUUCGGAAGAACACCAGUGGCGAAGGCGACUAACUGGACAAGUAUUGACGCUGAGGUACGAAAGCGUGGGGAGCAAACAGGAUUAGAUACCCUGGUAGUCCACGCCGUAAACGAUGAUAACUAGUUGUUCGGGCACUUGGUGCCUGAGUGACGCAGCUAACGCAUUAAGUUAUCCGCCUGGGGAGUAGUCGCAGAUAAAUAAAUANAUANAGNNGAGANGCGAGACGACACGAGGAGAG
rnacentral:rRNA from 1 species